UAUGUGGGACAUUGCAACAUAUAUAUGGCAAAAGAUUGAAAUCCAGGAAAAUAAGACAGUAUUUCAAAAUACUUAUUUUAAUCAAGUAGUGUGCAAGUCUACUUGCAUGUUUGAGCAAAAGUAGUUUCCCCUUACCCUGGCCAUUUA